CCGGCGCACGGGUGAGUAACGCGUAUGCGACCUGCCCGUUGCAGGGGGAUAAUCGGGAGAAAUCCCGUCUAAUACCGCGUAACGCCGCGGGGCUGCAUGGCCCUGCGGCCAAAGGGGGCGAUUCCGGCAACGGAUGGGCAUGCGUGACAUUAGCUAGUUGGCGGGGCAACGGCCCACCAAGGCGACGAUGUCUAGGGGUUCUGAGAGGAAGGUCCCCCACACUGGUACUGAGACACGGACCAGACUCCUACGGAAGGCAGCAG
rnacentral:rRNA from 1 species